rnacentral:rRNA from 1 species
GGAAGGCAAUGCCUCGUCGCUUGGGAGACGGUAUGUAGGCCGAUGAGCUUUGGUAGUCUGGGAGUGAAGAAUUUGGCAGUGCAAGCACUAGCACUCCGUGUGCAUUGGGAAUGGCUUAGGAGAACGGACCCGAACAUGCCAUGGCAAGGCCUUCAUCUGAUGGUUGAUGAGCAAGCGCGCGCAAUCUUUGAUAGCCUGGUCAAGAUCACCGUUGGAGAGGGAUCGAAAGUCCUCUUUUGGAAAGAUCGUUGGAUCCACGAAGUUGCGGUGAAGGACAUUGCCCCGAUGCUCCUUCAACUAGUCAGCACAAGAGAUAAAAACAGGAGAACGGUGUGUGAAGCGCUCCUCGACAAUGCCUGGGCGAACGAUGUCCAUCGUGAGCUCUCGUUCAUGGCUCUGCGAUGCAUCACGCAAAUACACAGCCAACUCCACUUACAAGAGACCUUGCAUCAGAUACACCCGUUCCCCGACGACCGGCUGCAUUUGGCGAAGCUGGGCGCCGCUCAAAUGCAAGAUCUUCAUGUGGUUGGCCUGUCAGUACCGGUUGUGGACUUCCGACCGUCGCGCUCGGCAUGGCCUUCAAGAUGCCCCAUCCCCUUGCUACACUUUCCUUCAGGAGGAGGACAAUGCGGACCACAUCCUCGCACAGUGUGUCUAUGCUCGUGA